rnacentral:rRNA from 1 species
UUACAGUGAAGAGUUUGAUCCUGGCUCAGGAUGAACGCUAGCUACAGGCUUAACACAUGCAAGUCGAGGGGCAGCGAGAAGAAAGCUUGCUUUCUUUGUCGGCGACCGGCGCACGGGUGAGUAACGCGUAUCCAACCUUCCCCAUAGUAGGGAAUAGCCCGGCGAAAGUCGGAUUAAUGCCCUAUGUUGUAUUAUG